rnacentral:rRNA from 1 species
GUAGGUGGCAAGCGUUGUCCGGAAUUAUUGAGCGUAAAGCGCGCGCAGGCGGUUCUUUAAGUCUGAUGUGAAAGCCCACGGCUCAACCGUGGAGGGUCAUUGGAAACUGGAGAACUUGAGUACAGAAGAGGAAAGCGGAAUUCCACGUGUAGCGGUGAAAUGCGUAGAGAUGUGGAGGAACACCAGUGGCGAAGGCGGCUUUCUGGUCUGUAACUGACGCUGAGGCGCGAAAGCGUGGGGAGCAAACAGGAUUAGAUACCCUGGUAGUCCACGCCGUAAACGAUGAGUGCUAAGUGUUAGGGGGGUUUCCGCCCCCCUUAGUGCUGCAGCUAACGCAUUAAGCACUCCGCCUGGGAGUACGGCCGCAAGGCUG